GGACCCUACGGGGGGCAGCGGUAGGGAAUUUUCGUCAAUGGGCGCAAGCCUGAACGAGCAAUGCCGCGUGAACGAGGAAGGUCUUCGGAUCGUAAAGUUCUGUUGAAGGGGAAAAAGAGCGGAGAGAGGAAAUGGUCUCCGAUUGAUAUUACCCUUCGAGGAAGUCACGGCUAACUACGUGCCAGCAGCCGCGGUAAUACGUAGGUGGCGAGCGUUAUCCGGUAUGAUUGGGCGUAAAGGGUGCGUAGGCGGCCUGCUAAGUCUGGAGUGACAUGUAGCGGCUCAACCGGUACAGGCACUGGAAA
rnacentral:rRNA from 1 species